AUGAUUGGCGUUGGGUCUGGAGAAGGGGAGAAUGGUGGGCAAAUUUAUGAACCUUUUUGUUUGUUUGAUUUGUUUUCUUUUGUUUUUCAGAAAGUUUACUCGGUGUCCCACUUGUCUUUUAACUCAUGGAGACCUCUGACCAAACAAGGCCUCCACUGGGGACAUUUUGAGGAACGAGCACAGAGUGUGAUAUGCUUGCCCAUCCUGGAGGAGAACUUGCAAAUGCCUGCUCCCCCAGCAGCUGGAGGGCUAGUAAGAAUGCGUGGAGGACAACAGUGGCACCUUCCCUGUCAGCACAGGCAAAACCAUUUCAGAAAGCUCUCAUGUGUGCUGCUACCAGGAUGAAUGAAGGAGGGCAGAAGGGGUGAAGAGAGCUGAGGAACAGCAGAAAGAAGCAGUUUAUACAACAGAUAAAAAGCCAAAUAAAGUGUGUGCAGACUCAAUAAAUCUGCA
rnacentral:lncRNA from 1 species